rnacentral:rRNA from 1 species
GUUAGGAAUAUUGGGCAAUGGAGGAAACUCUGACCCAGCAACGCCGCGUGAAGGAUGAAGGUUUUCGGAUUGUAAACUUCUGUUCUAUGGGAAAAAACAAAUGAUGGUACCAUAGGAGAAAGCCACGGCUAACUACGUGCCAGCAGCCGCGGUAAUACGUAGGUGGCAAGCGUUGUUCGGAAUGACUGGGCGUAAAGGGAGCGUAGGUUGUUUUUUAAGUUAAAUGUGAAAGCCCGUGGCUUAACUCCGGAAUGCCAUUUAAUACUGGAAGACUAGAGUGCAGGAGGGGUGGACGGAAUUCCUAGUGUAGCGGUGGAAUGCGUAGAUAUUAGGAAGAACACCAGAGGCGAAGGCGGCUCACUGGACUGUUACUGACACUGAGGCUCGAAAGCGUGGGGAGCAAACAGGAUUAGAUACCCGGGUAGUCC